rnacentral:rRNA from 1 species
GUCUAUGGCCAUGCCGCCCUGAACAUGCUUGAUCUUGUCUGAUCUCAGAAGCCAAGCACGAUUGGGCCUGAUUAGCACUUGGAUGGGAGACCACCUAGGAAUACCAAUACAAAUAAUU